rnacentral:misc_RNA from 1 species
CGUUUUAGAAACAUCAGUGGCCAACAGAUCGCCAGAUCGUUGAGCUGCAUUGGCGGGAUUUCGCCGUCUUCGUUUCUCUUUCUUCGCGGACGAACACGCGCUGGGCCUGCAACGGCAGGAUCCAGGGUCCUUAACGGGAUGUGCGUUAGGGGCUUGUAGCUCAGUUGGUUAGAGCGCGCGCUUGAUAAGCGUGAGGUCGGAAGUUCAAGUCUUCCCAGGCCCACCACUUUCAUCGAGUGAGCAUUCGUCUUCUGGUUACGGGGCCAUAGCUCAGCUGGGAGAGCGCGUGCUUUGCAAGCAUGAGGUCGUCGGUUCGAUCCCGUCUGGCUCCACCAGAUGGUUUGAUCACCGAGAUCUUGACCGUCGUCCGCGAAACAUCACUUCGCAUCCUGCUAGUCUGGAUAGACAGCAGUUUGCGUGUUUUCUGACAUCGUAAAGAGGAGAUCGAUCCGAGUUGGGUCGUGCAGCAUAUCGUUGCGCGAGCCUUCAUUAUCUCCGGAUCAUUUCGGCGCUCGCUUCCAGCCGUGAGGUUGGAUGCGGGUUGUAAAUGAUCCUUUUAGCGAAGCUUGACCGCCUCGCUAUCGGAACGAUCUUACGAAGCAAGCUGGUCUUUCUAGUCAAUGUCCGGCUGCGGAUAGCGUUCAUCGAGGGCGCGUGCCGCAAGGCAAUUCUGCAGACAACAUUCUGCCGAGUGUGUGGACAUUGAUAAUGAGAGCAAUCAAGUGCCUUAAGGGUGUUCGGUGGAUGCCUUGGCGCUGAGAGGCGAUGAAGGACGUGCUACGCUGCGAUAAGCCGUGGGGAGCUGCGAAGAAGCUUUGAUCCGCGGAU